rnacentral:rRNA from 1 species
CUGGAGGUAUCAGAAGUGCGAAUGCUGACAUAAGUAACGAUAAAGCGGGUGAAAAGCCCGCUCGCCGGAAGACCAAGGGUUCCUGUCCAACGUUAAUCGGGGCAGGGUGAGUCGACCCCUAAGGCGAGGCCGAAAGGCGUAGUCGAUGGGAAACGGGUUAAUAUUCCCGUACUUGGUGUUACUGCGAAGGGGGGACGGAGAAGGCUAUGUUGGCCGGGCGACGGUUGUCCCGGUUUAAGCGUGUAGGUGUGUGUUCCAGGUAAAUCCGGUUCACUUUAACACUGAGGCGUGACGACGAGGCACUACGGUGCUGAAGCAACAAAUGCCCUGCUUCCAGGAAAAGCCUCUAAGCAUCAGGUAACAUCAAAUCGUACCCCAAACCGACACAGGUGGUCAGGUAGAGAAUACCAAGGCGCUUGAGAGAACUCGGGUGAAGGAACUAGGCAAAAUGGUGCCGUAACUUCGGGAGAAGGCACGCUGACACGUAGGUGAAGUGAUUUACUCAUGGAGCUGAAGUCAGUCGAAGAUACCAGCUGGCUGCAACUGUUUAUUAAAAACACAGCACUGUGCAAACACGAAAGUGGACGUAUACGGUGUGACGCCUGCCCGGUGCCGGAAGGUUAAUUGAUGGGGUCAGCGCAAGCGAAGCUCCUGAUCGAAGCCCCGGUAAACGGCGGCCGUAACUAUAACGGUCCUAAGGUAGCGAAAUUCCUUGUCGGGUAAGUUCCGACCUGCACGAAUGGCGUAAUGAUGGCCAGGCUGUCUCCACCCGAGACUCAGUGAAAUUGAACUCGCUGUGAAGAUGCAGUGUACCCGCGGCAAGACGGAAAGACCCCGUGAACCUUUACUAUAGCUUGACACUGAACAUUGAGCCUUGAUGUGUAGGAUAGGUGGGAGGCUUUGAAGCGUGGACGCCAGUCUGCGUGGAGCCGACCUUGAAAUACCACCCUUUAAUGUUU